UAUAACAGAAAUGGUUUCACCUUUCUCACCAUUGGAGAUGCACUGCACUGCAUCUUUGGUUGCAAUAACUUUUCCCAUUUUAUUGUUCAUUUGUAAUUCUGUUUCAUCCUUGUUAAAUAUAUUCUGGCAUGGUGGUGAAAAGAUUGUGUUCAAUGCAAAUUUUUUCCAAAAGUGUGAAAUAUGCAUUCGUUUCUUCUCUGCACAUCCCUUGAGCAUGUGCCAGUGAAACAGCAAUAGUUUCUGUAUUGCUAAAUUGGGAUGGCAUGACAUAAAAAGCCAAAAUCACUCAAUACCUGCUAACUGUUUUUCUGAAUUAAAUUUAUGGGGAAGUGCAUUUUUUUUUGGCAAAGGAAUAAAUCAAAGAUCUAUGUUCAUUGGAGUUGUGGCAAAAUCACAGCUCUCGAGUUCCUGAAUGUACAGAACUAGUUUGUCUUCAUUAUCAUAGACUUGGCCCAGAGGACACACUGGGCCAAGUCCAUGUUUUCUGACAUCAACUUUUUGUAGUCUAUGUUUCAAAGUGUGGACAGGAACCCCAUAUUUUCUUUCACUCUCUCUCUGUUUUGAGCUUCCAUUUUCAACUUCUUUAAUGGCCAAUUGCAGAGCCUCCUCAGUCCAGUUGGCAUGGUUAGAUGUAGGAAGUUAAUUAUGAGGC
rnacentral:lncRNA from 1 species